rnacentral:rRNA from 1 species
UACGAAGGGGGCGAGCGUUGUCCGGAUUUAUUGGGCGUAAAGAGCGUGUAGGCGGCCAUUCAGGUCAGCUGUGAAAACUCGAGGCUCAACCUCGAGACGUCGGUUGAAACCGUUUGGCUAGAGUCCGGAAGAGGAGAGUGGAAUUCCCGGUGUAGCGGUGAAAUGCGCAGAUAUCGGGAAGAACACCCGUGGCGAAGGCGGCUCUCUGGGACGGUACUGACGCUGAGACGCGAAAGCGUGGGGAGCGAACAGG